rnacentral:rRNA from 1 species
AAUCAACGCUGGCGGCGUGCCUCAGACAUGCAAGUCGAACGAUUAAAGCUCUCUUCGGAGAGUGCAUAGAGUGGCGCACGGGUGAGUAACACGUAAGUAAUCUACCUUCGAGUGGGGAAUAACAUCGGGAAACCGAUGCUAAUACCGCAUAAUGCAGCGGCAUCGCAAGAUGACAGUUGUUAAAGGAGCAAUUCGCUUGAAGAGGAGCUGCGGCAGAUUAGCUAGUUGGUAAGGUAAUGGCUUACCAAGGCUACGAUCUGUAUCCGGUCUAAGAGGACGGUCGGACACACUGACACUGAAUAACGGGUCAGACUCCUACGGGAGGCAGCAGUCGGGAAUUUUGGGCAAUGGGCGAAAGCCUGACCCAGCAACGCCGCGUGAAGGAUGAAGUAUUUCGGUAUGUAAACUUCGAAAGAAUAGGAAGAAUAAAUGA